rnacentral:rRNA from 1 species
UACGUAGGGGGCAAGCGUUGUUCGGAUUUACUGGGCGUAAAGCGCACGUAGGCGGAUCGUUAAGUCGGGGGUGAAAUCCUGGAGCUCAACUCCAGAACUGCCUUCGAUACUGGCGAUCUUGAGUCCGGAAGAGGUGAGUGGAACUCCUAGUGUAGAGGUGGAAUUCGUAGAUAUUAGGAAGAACACCAGUGGCGAAGGCGGCUCACUGGUCCGGUACUGACGCUGAGGUGCGAAAGCGUGGGGAGCAAACAGG